AUUGAACGCUGGCGGCAGGCCUAACACAUGCAAGUCGAGCGAGCGGAGGACGGGUGAGUAAUGUAUGGGGACCUGCCCGAUAGAGGGGGAUAACUACUGGAAACGGUGGUUAUAACCGCAUCCUAUCGGAUGAACCCAUAUGGGAUUAGCUAGUGGGUGGGGUAAAGGGUCACCUAGGCGACGAUCUCUAGCUGGUCUGAGAGGAUGAUAAGGCAAAAUGUAACGGAGACACGGCCCAGACGCCUACGGGAGGCAGUAGUGGGGAAGAGUGGACAAUGGGCGAAAGCCUGAUGGAGCCAUGCCGCGUGUAUGAAGAAGGGCUUAGGGUUGUAAAGUACUUUCAGCGGGGAGGCGUUACCCGCAGAAGAAGCACCGGCUAACUCCGUGCCAGCAGCCGCGGUAAUUC
rnacentral:rRNA from 1 species